UGGGGAAUUUUGGACAAUGGGGGAAACCCUGAUCCAGCCAUCCCGCGUGUGCGAUGAAGGCCUUCGGGUUGUAAAGCACUUUUGGCAGGAAAGAAACGUCAUGGGUUAAUACCCCGCGAAACUGACGGUACCUGCAGAAUAAGCACCGGCUAACUACGUGCCAGCAGCCGCGGUAAUACGUAGGGUGCAAGCGUUAAUCGGAAUUACUGGGCGUAAAGCGUGCGCAGGCGGUUCGGAAAGAAAGAUGUGAAAUCCCAGAGCUCAACUUUGGAACUGCAUUUUUAACUACCGGGCUAGAGUGUGUCAGAGGGAGGUGGAAUUCCGCGUGUAGCAGUGAAAUGCGUAGAUAUGCGGAGGAACACCGAUGGCGAAGGCAGCCGCCUGGGAUAACACUGACGCUCAUGCACGAAAGCGUGGGGAGCAAACCGG
rnacentral:rRNA from 1 species